GAUGAACGCUAGCGGCAGGCUUAAUACAUGCAAGUCGAGGGACAGCACAGGUAGCAAUACUGGGUGGUAACCGGCAAACGGGUGCGGAACACGUACACAACCUUCCUUUAAGUGGGGGUUAGCCCAGAGAAAUUUGGAUUAAUACCCCGUAAUAUAGUUGAAUGGCAUCAUUUGAUUAUUAUAGCUACGGCGCUUAAUGAUGGGUGUGCGGCUGAUUAGAUAGUUGGCGGGGUAACGGCCCACCAAGUCUACGAUCAGUAGCUGAUGUGAGAGUAUGAUCAGCCACACGGGCACUGAGACACGGGCCCGACUCCUACGGGAGGCAGCAGUAAGGAAUAUUGGUCAAUGGACGCAAGUCUGAACCAGCCAUGCCGCGUGAAGGAUUAAGGUCCUCUGGAUUGUAAACUUCUUUUAUUUGGGACGAAAAAGGGCCUUUCUAGGUCAACUGACGGUACCAGAUGAAUAAGCACCGGCUAACUCCGUGCCAGCCGCCGCAGUAAUAC
rnacentral:rRNA from 1 species